rnacentral:rRNA from 1 species
UACGUAGGGUGCUAGCGUUAUCCGGGUUUACUGGGCGCAAAGGGUGCGUAGGUGGUCUUUCAAGACGGUGGUUAAAGGCUACGGCUCAACCGUAUUAAGCCGCCGAAACUGGAAGACUUGAGUGCAGGAGAGGAAAGUGGAAUUCUAAGUGUAGCGGUGAAAUGCGUAGAUAUUUAGAAGAACACCAGUAGCGAAGGCGGCUUUCUGGACUGUAACUGACGCUGAUGCGCGAAAGCGUGGGUAGCAAACAGG